rnacentral:misc_RNA from 1 species
AAGUCGUAACAAGGUUUCCGUAGGUGAACCUGCGGAAGGAUCAUUAACACUAAUGAAAUCCAAAACCUUUUGGAUCAACCCAACCUUUAGCGAACCGAUCGUUUUUCUUUCUCCUUGCCCCUUUUUUUUAUCAAACCCAACUUAUCUGAUGUAAAGUGUCUGAUUUCAUAUUCUCCACGACGCCUUGAUUGGCUCGGAGGGAAUCAAAAUCUAACGCAAUACAACUCUUAACAACGGAUAUCUUGGCUCUC